rnacentral:rRNA from 1 species
AUUGAACGCUGGCGGCAUGCUUUACACAUGCAAGUCGAACGGUAACAGGUUAAGCUGACGAGUGGCGAACGGGUGAGUAAUGCAUCGGAACGUGCCCGAUCGUGGGGGAUAACGUAGCGAAAGUUACGCUAAUACCGCAUACGAUCUGAGGAUGAAAGCGGGGGACCGUAAGGCCUCGCGCGAUCGGAGCGGCCGAUGUCAGAUUAGGUAGUUGGUGGGGUAAAGGCCCACCAAGCCGACGAUCUGUAGCUGGUCUGAGAGGACGACCAGCCACACUGGGACUGAGACACGGCCCAGACUCCUACGGGAGGCAGCAGUGGGGAAUUUUGGACAAUGGGCGCAAGCCUGAUCCAGCAAUGCCGCGUGCAGGAAGAAGGCCUUCGGGUUGUAAACUGCUUUUGUACGGAGCGAAAAGGCUCUCUCUAAUACAGGGGGCUCAUAACGGUACCGUAAGAAUAAGCACCGGCUAACUACGUGCCAGCCGCCGCGGUAAUAC